CCUCCGUUGUUCCGCCGUUCUUGCUAUUUUUCAAUUGUUGAAACCCUUAACCAGCAACGCCGCGUGAGGGAAGACGGUUUUCGGAUUGUAAACCUCUGUCCUCUGUGAAGAUAAUGACGGUAGCAGAGGAGGAAGCUCCUGCUAACUACGUGCCAGCAGCCGCGGUAAUACGUAGGGAGCAAGCGUUUUCCGGAUUUACUGGGUGUAAAGGGUGCGUAGGCGGCCCUGCAAGUCAGAAGUGAAAUCCAUGGGCUUAACCCGUGAACUGCUUUUGAAACUGUAGGGCUUGAGUGAAGUAGAGGCAGGCGGAAUUGCCGGUGUAGCGGUGAAAUGCGUAGAGAUCGGGAGGAACAUCAGUGGCGAAGGCGGCCUGCUGGGCUUUAACUGACGCUGAAGCACGAAAGCGUGGGUAGCAAACAGGAUUAGAUACCCUUGUAGUC
rnacentral:rRNA from 1 species